ensembl:lncRNA
GGCAGCCAGCCUUUUCCAAAACUUACAUCUUCCUUUUUCCUCUAGAGCAGGUUCAAAGUGAAGUACGACUCUUUUAAGUUUAAUGUCCUAAAGUCUUUCCCCUUGAGCUCAAGUACUUCUUCACCAAGUCACUUUCUAAAGGAGAGGAAUACUAUACGUCUGGAUCUGAUUUUUAAAACUCCAGAUUGCAGUCUGGAUCUCUGCAAGUUUCACAUUAAGGAUCCUCCACACCUGGAAUCUAUGCUUACGAGGAAGCCCGUGAGCCACACAGGGCAGCUGAGGCUAUGGUCUACCCUGUGGAUCUUUCAGAGAUGCUGCCCCUCUUGGGGCCAGAGGUUCAUUUGUGGGUGCUGAAGAUCCAAUAUGACAGUGACCUCUACUUCAGAUCCUUCUGGGACCCUCUUCUCAAGCAGUUAUUAGUGGAUCCCUGAGCAUGGUAUCAAAGAGGUUGCUUACACAUAGGGUGCUUAUCUUAAGUAGGGUCUGGGUUAGGUGGCUAUUAACAAGGAACCCUAAAUAUAACAGCAUAAAAAAGAGAGAAGUUUAUUUCUUUUUCCUUAAGAAGUCUUGGUAGGUGGUCCAGGGCUAUGCUGGUAGUUUGAUAGGGUGAGAACCUGAACUCCUCUUAUCUUCAUGUUCCAUCACUGUCUUAGCCACAUGUUUGAAACUGGCUCAACAUCACAUCUGCUGAGAGUACACAGUGGCCAGCAGAGAAGGGUAAAGAGAAGAAAGCACAUUCUUUCCCUACUAAGGUUAUAACCCAGAAGUUGCACACACUGCGUAUGUUUAGUUAGGCGGAACUAAAUCUCAUAUCCACAUCUGGCUUUAACAAAGGCUAAGGAGUGUGGUCUUUAGUUGGUGGUUCAUAUGCCCAGCUAAACUUGGGAAUUACAGAGUAGAAGGCGUGAAUGAAUACUGUGUAUGUGGGUGGGUGUGUGGGGGGUAAUUACUAGGGUGUGGAACUUCAGCAAAAAAAUUGUCUCAGACUUAGUCCUUAUGGAUAACCUUAAAACUAAUCUUCUAUAUGAGGAGA